rnacentral:rRNA from 1 species
UUACGGCCAUAUCACUUUGAAACACCAGCUUUCAUAUGAUCACCAAAGUUAAGCAAAAUUGAGCCUGGUCAGUAUCAAGAUGGGUGACUGCUUGGGAAUACCAGGUGCUGUAAG